AGAGACUUCCAGCAAAGUAAAAGUACUUGUGGGCUUUGAACGAAGUCUGCUUCGGAAGGGAAGGAAGACCUUGUUCGCUCAAUGCAUUUCUACGGCUGCCUGGCUGCGCUCCAGUGAUGCACCAGCCUCCGAGCAGACGGGCUGGGAGAGCGCGACGGGAGUGCUGUAUCCGUUCACGAGGGGCUGUAAUUCACUGUCAUCCCCCAGUGAUUAAAUCCUGCUUAUUUCAAACUGACAGCACGCUCCUGCCUCUGGUCAGUACAGCACUGGGAACCCAUUGCAGCAGCUUGAAGAGCAACUCGCGUCCCAUUGUUCCAGGGUUCAUCAGUAACCACUCCUCUUCCUCAGAAAAGAAAAAAACCCAAGUCCUUAACCUGGAGAGAUGGAAGGAGACCUGAAACAGAAUAACACCUUCAGCUUAGGUUUUGUUUUUUAACUGUACCCCCUGCUUAAUGCCAUUUAGAUGGGUACUGAUUUUACAGACCUCCGACGAACCAAAACCUGGCACUUUAUUGGAAUUUUAAGGGAAGCGAGGGGCCUGCGCCCACAGAGAGGAGGGAAGAGCAGCAAGCGGGUAUCUGAGGGACAAGUUCUUUAUGAAUACAGGUAUAACCGGUCCUGGCAAACAGCAGUCAGUAGCUACUGAGUUUAUUGCAAACUCUUCCAAUUUUCUACCUUGAUCCUUAGCUCCAGAAUAAAACGUGGAAGGAAAGCAUUCAUUGCCAUCUGGUAAAACCAAAGCAUUUGCAUAUAGUGGCAGAACAACCAACUUUUUAAGGGAGAAAAAAACAUUUCCACUGAUCCCAUCUCGAACACGUGAAACUCAAAGGAAAAAUGAGCCAUGUUGCUACUGAAGCCUUUGUACCACACGCUGGGUAGCUGAGUGCCUGCUGCCACCGUGAUGCUUUGCAGGUUGGGCACUCUGGGACCAGCUAGACCUAAGGGCUGGGAUUGAGGGUGUUUCAGUGCAGCCAGAAGCAGGGUGGGCUGCUGAGGGUUAAAUGAACGAUAAACCUUGCUUCCCUGA